ensembl:lncRNA
GUCCUAGUUGAGAAUGAUGCCCAUGGGAUCAGAUAUGACCCACACUUUAAGAAGCUAAGGUUGACGUGAUGAGGAUUUGGGGAUCUGAAGAAAAGAAGAUGUCACGCAAAGUUAUAGAGACUGCAGGUUACGUAGACGUUUACAUACAUGGUUGGCGCAUGUGUUGUCCUGCAGCGGACAUGCUGAGUCACAUCUGCCUGGAAGCUGCUCUGGCCUGAUUGCCCACAGUACCUCCAUCUACCUUCAGUUUACAGAAGGAAAGUUCUCCAGGCCUUACGUACUUCAGAGAUUCAAAUUUUGGACUCCACAGCCAAAGUAGAAAUGAAGAAAUCACAGCCAGAUGGCUCAAAUAUGUGAUGAAGUUAAGGAUCUGAGAUGAGGAGAAUAUUCUGGAUCAUCCUACAUGGAAUCCCAUCGUUCUCCUAAGAGACAGGCAGAAGGACUGAGUGAGAAGAGAUGUCAGGAUGAAAGCAGGGAGAGGAAAGGCUUGUGAUGCUGCCAUGAUGCAAGGAAUGAGGACAGUCUCUUGAAGUUGGAAGUCAAGGAAAGGACUUUCUCCCAGAGCCUCCAGAGAGAGCAGCGACUUGCAGACACCUUGAUGUCGGCCUAGCGAACCCAGUGCAUUCAUGGGAAACUAAUACAAAUGCCAAUAGCAACAUCAGAAAGUACAAAUUCUUACAUGUUUUUUCACAAAGACAGAGACUGCUCUUUCAAAGCUUCUAUCUACAGCAGGCACACAACAGUAUUUUCAUUUUUAAGCUUUAGAGUCUGAGCCGUCACUUCAGAUAAAGUAAUAAUAAAGACUCUGUGGCACAAAGUGUCAGGUAUAGUUCAAGGUUGGAGGAAGCUCAGAAUCAAUCCAGUGGAAAUGGGCCCUCUGGUUACUGUCAUUGCCACUCAGAGCAGGGCUACAGGCCUGAGGCCUGAAUGGAUUCCAGCUAGUACCUGGGAGGGCAGCCCCUGGGGGUGUGGACAGGUGAAGGCAGGGAGAGGUAGUGGGUAAGAUGCAGGCUGUAGGAGAAAGGAUCUGCCAGAGUGUGGAGAAAUUGGAACCCUUGUGUGUUGUUGGCAGGAAUAAAACAUGGUACAGCUGCUGUGAAAAACAAUAUAGUGAUUCCUCAAAAACUUAAAUGUAGAAAGAUGAUAUGAUCCAGCACGUUUGCUUCUGUGUAUGUAUACUGAAAAGAAUUGAAUGCAGAAAAUCAAAGAGAUAUUUUUAAACCCAUGUUCAUAGCAGCUUUAUCCAUAGUAUUUAUCAUGUAAAAGCAACCCAAUUAUCCAUUGAUGGAUGAAGGGAUAGGCCAAAGGUAGUAAAUCUAUUCAAAGGAAUAUUAUUCAGCCUUAAAAAAGAAAAGUUAUUCUGCAAUGUGGAGCAGAGUGGAUUAACCUUGAGUGCAUUAAGCUAAGUAAAAAAAAAAUCCAGUCACAAAAAGACAAAUACUGUAUGAUUCCACUUGUUUGAGGGACUUAGCCAAAAUCAUAGAGACAGAAAGCAUAACGGGGGUUGACAGGGGCUAAGGGAGGGAAAGAUGGGGAGUUAUUGUUUAAAUUUUUUUUUUUUCAGUUUUACAAGGUGAAAUGAGUCAUGGGGAUGGGUUGUGGUGAUGGUUUCACCAUGUGAAUGUAUUUGAUACCAAAAAACUUUGCAUUUCAAAAGAGUUAUGAUGGUAAAUUUUAUGUUAUGUGUAUUUUACCACAAUAAUAAAAAGAAAAAAAGAAAGAAACCAUAUCUUUUAAUGCGAAUCCCAAUGGUACCCUUGAAUACAGAGUGAAGAAAGUCCAAAGUGCACCAUCUGGCUCUCUUGGGGCUAAGAUAGGUGGAUUUCCAAGAAGCAGUUGUCCUGGUCCCCUCCCUGUGACUUUGCAGUGCUCACAGGCCCUGAGUGGGUUCCCUCAAUGUCCUAAUCU